rnacentral:rRNA from 1 species
GGACGAACGCUGGCGGCGUGCUUCAUACAUGCAAGUCGAACGAGGUAGCAAUACCUAGUGGCGGACGGGUGAGUAACGCGUGAGCAACCUGCCCUUGUGUGGGGGAUACCGUCUGGAAACGGACGUUAAUACCGCAUAACAUAGCGGAAUCGCAUGGUUCUGCUAUCAAAGAUUUAUUGCGCAAGGAUGGGCUCGCGUUGGAUUAGAUAGUUGGUGAGGUAACGGCCCACCAAGUCUGCGAUCCAUAGCCGGACUGAGAGGUUGAACGGCCACAUUGGAACUGAGAUACGGUCCAGACUCCUACGGGAGGCAGCAGUGGGGAAUAUUGGGCAAUGGGCGAAAGCCUGACCCAGCGACGCCGCGUGAAGGAAGAAGGUCUUCGGAUUGUAAACUUCUUUUAUCAGGGACGAAUACUGACGGUACCUGAUGAAUAAGCCACGGCUAACUACGUG